rnacentral:rRNA from 1 species
GAACCGCCGAAAGCCUAAGGGUUCCUGAGGAAGGUUCGUCCGCUCAGGGUAAGUCGGGACCUAAGGCGAGGCCGAUAGGCGUAGUCGAAGGACAACAGGUCGAAAUUCCUGUACCACCGUAAUCCGUUAUGAGCGAUGGGGUGACGCAGUAGGGUAGUGACGCGGACUGAUGGAUGUCCGUCUAAGCAGUGAGGCUGAUGUGUAGGCAAAUCCGCACAUCGUAAGGCUGGGCUGUGAUGGGGAGCGAAAAUUAU